rnacentral:rRNA from 1 species
UGGUCAAGUUAUUAAGGGUGCAGGGCGGAUGCCUUGGCACUAGGAGCCGAUGAAGGACGUGAUAAGCUGCGAUAAGCUUCGGGGAGUUGCACGUAAACUUUGAUCCGAAGAUUUCCGAAUGAGGAAACUCACUUAGAGUAAUGUCUAAGUAUCAUUAAGUGAAUACAUAGCUUAAUGAGGGGAACUCAGGGAACUGAAACAUCUAAGUACCUGAAGGAAGAGAAAGAAAUUCGAUUCCGUAAGUAGCGGCGAGCGAACGCGGAUUAGCCCAAACCAAUAAAGUUUUCUUUAUUGGGGUUGCGGACAUAUCAUAACGAAGAGGUAUCGUAAUUGAAGAGGUUUGGAAAGACCCACCACAGAAGGUAAUAGUCCUGUAUGUUAAACGAGAAGACUUUAGAUAUGAUCCAGAGUACCACGGGACACGUGAAACCCUGUGGGAAGCAGGAGGGACCACCCUCCAAGGCUAAAUACUACCUAGUGACCGAUAGCGUAUAGUACCGUGAGGGAAAGGUGAAAAGAACCCCGGGAGGGGAGUGAAAUAGAACCUGAAACCCUGCACUUACAAGCUGUGGAAGCACAUUUCUUGUGUGACCGCGUACUUUUUGUAGAACGGGCCAACGAGUUACGUUAAGUAGCAAGGUUAAGCACUUAAGGUGCGGAGCCGUAGCGAAAGCGAGUUUUAACUGAGCGUUCAGUUACUUGACGUAGACCCGAAACCGGGCGACCUACCCAUGAGCAGGAUGAAGCGAAAGUAAAAUUUCGUGGAGGUCCGAACCCACGAGCGUUGAAAAGCUCGGGGAUGACUUGUGGGUAGCGGUGAAAUUCCAAUCGAGCCCGGAGAUAGCUGGUUCUCCCCGAA